rnacentral:tRNA from 1 species
GAGUCCGUAGCUCAGCUGGUAGAGCAACUGACUUUUAAUCAGUAGGUCUCGGGUUCGAACCCCGACGGACUCACCA